rnacentral:rRNA from 1 species
UAACACAUGCAAGUCGAGCGGAAACGAUCCUAGCUUGCUAGGAGGCGUCGAGCGGCGGACGGGUGAGUAACACGUGAGAAUCUGCCCAUUAGAGGGGGAUAACCUGGGGAAACCCAGGCUAAUACCGCAUAAUCCCUACGGGGGAAAGCAGGGGAUCUUCGGGCCUUGUGCUGAUGGAUGAGCUCGCGUCGGAUUAGCUUGUUGGUGAGGUAAUGGCUCACCAAGGCGACGAUCCGUAGCUGGUCUUAGAGGAUGAUCAGCCACACCGGGACUGAGACACGGCCCGGACUCCUACGGGAGGCAGCAGUGGGGAAUCUUGGACAAUGGGGGCAACCCUGAUCCAGCCAUGCCGCGUGUGUGAAGAAGGCCUUCGGGUUGUAAAGCACUUUCAGUAGGGAGGAAGGCUUAUCCUUAAUACGGAUGAGUACUUGACGUUACCUACAGAAGAAGCACCGGCCAAUUUCGUGCCANCAGGCCGCGGUAAUA